GUUAGGAAUAUUGGACAAUGGGCGCAAGCCUGAUCCAGCCAUGCCGCGUGAGUGAUGAAGGCCUUCGGGUUGUAAAGCUCUUUAGCCGAUGAUUAUAAUGACUGUAGUCGGAAAAUAAGCCCCGGCUAACUUCGUGCCAGCAGCCGCGGUAAUACGAAGGGGGCGAGCGUUAUUCGGAAUCACUGGGCGUAAAGCGUGCGUAGGCGGCUUUGCAAGUUGGGAGUGAAAGCCCAGGGCUCAACCCUGGAAUUGCUCUCAAAACUGCAAGGCUCGAAUUCGGGAGAGGAUAGCGGAAUUGUCAGUGUAGCAGUGAAAUGCGUAGAUAUUGACAGGAACACCAGUGGCGUAAGCGGCUAUCUGGACCGAUAUUGACGCUGAGGCACGAAAGCGUGGGGAUCAAACAGGAUUAGAAACCCUAGUAGUCC
rnacentral:rRNA from 1 species